rnacentral:rRNA from 1 species
AACGAACGCUAGCGGCAGGCUUAAUACAUGCAAGUCGUGGGGCAGCAUGGUGUAGCAAUACACUGAUGGCGACCGGCAAACGGGUGCGGAACACGUACGCAACCUACCCAAAACUGGGGAAUAGCCCGGGGAAACCCGGAUUAAUACCUCGUAACAUAAUUGAAUGGCAUCAUUUGAUUAUUAUAGCUCCGGCGGUUUUGGAUGGGCGUGCGACUGAUUAGAUAGUUGGCGGGGUAACGGCCCACCAAGUCUGCGAUCAGUAACUGGUGUGAGAGCACGACCAGUCACACGGGCACUGAGACACGGGCCCGACUCCUACGGGAGGCAGCAGUAAGGAAUAUUGGUCAAUGGACGCAAGUCUGAACCAGCCAUGCCGCGUGAAGGAUGAAGGUCCUCUGGAUUGUAAACUUCUUUUAUAUGGGACGAAACCCUCGAAUUCUUUCGGGAUUGACGGUACCAUAGGAAUAAGCACCGGCUAACUCCGUGCCAGCAGCCGCGGUAAGAC